rnacentral:ribozyme from 1 species
CCCGCUUUUCUUUUUGGUUUUUCUUUCACUUUUCUGGUCUGCUCAUAAUUCAUGUCUACAACUUUUAUAAAU